rnacentral:rRNA from 1 species
AGUGAACGCUGGCGGCAGGCCUAACACAUGCAAGUCGAACGGCAGCACAAGAGAGCUUGCUCUCUGGGUGGCGAGUGGCGGACGGGUGAGGAAUGCAUCGGAAUCUGCCCAUUUGUGGGGGAUAACCUCGGGAAACCGGGACUAAUACCGCAUACGACCUACGGGUGAAAGCAGGGGAUCUUCGGACCUUGCGCAGAUGGAUGAGCCGAUGCCGGAUUAGCUAGUUGGAGGGGUAAAGGCCCACCAAGGCGACGAUCCGUAGCUGGUCUGAGAGGAUGAUCAGCCACACUGGGACUGAGACACGGCCCAGACUCCUACGGGAGGAAGCAGUGGGGAAUAUUGGACAAUGGGCGCAAGCCUGAUCCAGCCAUGCCGCGUGUGUGAAGAAGGCCUUCGGGUUGUAAAGCACUUUUGUUGGGAAAGAAAAGCAGCCGGUUAAUACCCGGUUGUCAUGACGGUACCCAAAGAAUAAGCACCGGCUAACUUCGUG